GCACAACGUUACAGACGUGAGAAAGUAACACUUGGUGAAUAUAGAUGAAUAACACGUUAAGGUGUAGAGGGAAAAAAAUAAAAGCUAUUGGGUGAUAUACAAUAAAUAAUAAAGCAGAAGACUUGAAUUUGAGAGAAAGAUGAUACCUGUUAUUUCCCCCAUCACCCAAAUAACAAAAAGCCAAACAAAAUUCCAUUCUGUCUUGUUCACACUCAGUUACCUAGAGAGACACUCUCUGGCCAUUCUCUCUCCUCAGACCCAUGAAGAUCUACCAUCCACGGCUUGUCCCCUCUCUUCAAUUGGAAAAUCACAUCAGGUUGAGGAACUGGAAGGCCUGCUCAAAGAGAAAGAAACAAAGCAGGUGGCUGUGUGUGAUGAAAAUAAUAUCACUCUCCCAAAGCUCAAUCCCAGCCUCUAAGAUUUUUUUGUUGUUGUUGAGACAGCAUCUCACUCUGUCGCCCAGGCUGGAAUGCUGUGGCCUGAUCUCGGCUCACUGCAACCUCCAUCUCCCAGGUUCAAGUGAUUCUCCUGCCUCAGCCUCCCAAGUAGCUGGAAUUAUAGGCGGGUGCCACCACACCUGGCUAAUUUUUGUAUUUUUAGUAGAGAUGGGGCUUUGCCAUCAUGGCCACGCUGGUUUCGAACUCCUGACCUCAGGUGAUCCACCUGCCGCGGCCUCCCAAAGAGCUGGGAUUACAGGCAUGAGCCACUGAGCCUGGCCACAGCAUCUAAGUCUUUUAGAGAGAAAAUGCAAAAGGCAGAACGCACAAGCCAAGAAUGCAGAGUCCAAAGCAGAGGAACCUCUGGACGGAGGCCAGGACUGAGGCUAUAAAAGGAGCAAGUGGCACAAGGUCAGAAGGUUGAGAGAACCCGUGUAGAUUCACGUGUUUAUUCUUCCCUGUGAAGUGAAUGGGAAGUUCCCAGUGUUAGCACUGGUAGGAUGAAGGUCGUUGGCUUAGGAGAGAUGAGAAUGAAAUUAAGUCACCUUGAGUAAAAAGUGUAUCCAAACUGCCCAUUUUUGUUUAUUUGUUUGCCUUGAACAUUGUGCUUUCAUUGAAACAAGUCUGUCCGGUGCAUUCUAGGAAAAUUAGAAGUGUAUACAAGCAAAAAGAAAAAAUCACCUUGCCUACAGUGUAUUUUCUUUCUUUCUAUUCAGAUAUCCAAAGACACCCAUAAAUACAUUCUGUUAAAAACUGGAUAAUGAGGCUGGGCACAGUGGCUCCUGCCAGUAAUCCCAGCACUUUGGGAGGCCGAGAUGGGUGGAUCACCUGAGGUCAGGAGUUCAAGACCAGCCUGGCCAACAUGGUGAAACCCUGUCUCUACUAAAAAUACAAAAAUUAGCAGGGCAUGGUGGCCCAUGGCUGUAAUCCCAGCUACUUGGGAGACUGAGGCACGAGAAUUGCUUGAACCCUGGAGACAGAGGUUGCAGUGAGCCGAGAUUGCAUCACUGCACUCCAACCUAGGCAACAGAGUGAGACUCUGUCUCAAAAAAAAAAAAAAAACAAAAAAAACCAAACCUGGAUAAUGAAAUGACGCUGAUUUGUAAAGCUGAUUUUUUUUCACACAAUAAAUUUAAAAUACCAUUUUAUUUAUAUCAGUACUGAUCUACCUCACCAUUGUAAUGGCUACGGGAUAUGACAUUGUAUGGAUAACAUAAUUUAUUUAAUGAAUUCCCUUAUGAUAGAAAUUUAGACCAUUUUUAACGUUUUGCUAUUAACAAACAAUAGUGUGAUGAACAUCUGCAUACACCAUGGACUACUAGUCCUAUUAUUUCCUUAGGAUAAAUUCCCUGAAGCAAAUCUAUCCAUUUUUGGUUAUAUUAAAAAAUAGAUCCUGGAAAUAGGCUUGGGCUCUAAACUUCCCUUUUGCUGAGGCCCCAACUUGGGAAAGAGGCACUUUCUUAUUGGGCCCAAGGAUUGUCUACCGGGUUUUCUGUGGAUUCUCUGUUGACAAAACGGCCACACCCAGCAUCUCCCUGUGGCUCUCUGUCCCUGACCUCAGGGGUUCUAUUUUCCUCAAUAUGCCAUCUACUAAAGCCUGUAACAAAUGCUCCUUUGAUGCCUCCUGAAUAUUCCAUUCUGUUUGGGAGACAAUUGGCCUGAUUAAGUUAAUCUGGGGGGUGUUAGCACUUACUUUUUGACCUGCCUCGUAGGAAAUCUGCAAUGUGACUCCUUUUACUGCCAUCUGCUGCUUAUUUUAAGCCGGUUUCUCAAUCUGGGCACUCUCUCAGCCUCUCGUGAAGCUCCUGAAAGGUUCUCAUAACCUCCAGGAGCCCAACUUUACUUUUCACUAACACCAGAAUCAGCAGUGACUCUUAACUUUCUCUUUGUCACACAAGUCUCUAUAAUUACAAAGUGUCUUCUGUGAGCAUCUAAGACUGUACCUAAGACAAAUAUUCAAAAUCAAACAUAUAUCUGGUGACCUCAGAGGCACAACCCUGAAUUCCGACAAGAUGGCCCCCUACCCCAGCGCACACUCCUCUGGGUGAGCUGAGUUACCUAACUGGCGAACUGGGAGAACUGGGCAUAUGAAACUCAGCGUCUUCUGCCUGCCCCUCUGGAGCGCCAGCUCCCUGCCUCUAACACACAUUCCGCUCUGUCCCUCAGCCCUCGCUGGCCCUCCCUGAAUUUUGCCGGGCAGGCUGCUGAGCGAGAGAGCCUAUGGUCAUCCAGCACUGCCCAUGGCUGGGGAGGCAUGUCUGCCCAAUGCUGGGGUUAGGAAGGCAAUGUUUAAAACUUUACUUACAUAAAAAGGUACUUUUUUCUAUUAAUUGUAUGACUAUAGAUGUACCCUCAGGAUAGAUACUUGUAUCUACUCAUAUAAGUAUGUAAAAAGAAAUUUGGAAUGGGAAUAAACCAGGUAAUUCUAGAUACAGAACUACAUACCCCAAACAGGGAGGACUAAUCAGUACUGGGGCCACACGUAAGUAUCAAGUAGAAAGAGAAAUGGGCUCU
rnacentral:lncRNA from 1 species